AGUGAACGCUGGCGGUAGGCCUAACACAUGCAAGUCGAACGGCAGCACAGUAAGAGCUUGCUCUUACGGGUGGCGAGUGGCGGACGGGUGAGGAAUACAUCGGAAUCUACUUUUUCGUGGGGGAUAACGUAGGGAAACUUACGCUAAUACCGCAUACGACCUACGGGUGAAAGCAGGGGACCCUCGUGCCUUGCGCGAUUGAAUGAGCCGAUGUCGGAUUAGCUAGUUGGCGGGGUAAAGGACCACCAAGGCGACGAUCCGUAGCUGGUCUGAGAGGAUGAUCAGCCACACUGGAACUGAGACACGGUCCAGACUCCUACGGGAGGCAGCAGUGGGGAAUAUUGGACAAUGGGCGCAAGCCUGAUCCAGCCAUACCGCGUGGGUGAAGAAGGCCUUCGGGUUGUAAAGCCCUUUUGUUGGGAAAGAAAUCCAGCCGGCUAAUACCUGGCUGGGAUGACGGUACCCAAAGAAUAAGCACCGGCUAACUACGUGCCAGCCGCCGCAGUAAAAC
rnacentral:rRNA from 1 species